rnacentral:rRNA from 1 species
CAGCCGCCGCGGUAAUCCGAAGGGGGCUAGCGUUGCUCGGAAUUACUGGGCGUAAAGGGAGCGUAGGCGGAUCGUUUAGUUGGGGGUGAAAGCCCGGGGCUCAACCUCGGAACUGCCUUCAAUACUGGCGAUCUUGAGUAUGAGAGAGGUGUGUGGAACUCCGAGUGUAGAGGUGAAAUUCGUAGAUAUUCGGAAGAACACCAGUGGCGAAGGCGACACACUGGCUCAUUACUGACGCUGAGGCUCGAAAGCGUGGGGAGCAAACAGGAUUAGAUACCCCAGUAGUCCCUGUCUCUUAUAC